AUGGCUUCACCUUUUGAACUUUUUUCAAAUGUUUCUUACAUUGUAAUUGGCAGUUGUUUGGAACUGUUUGAAGUGAAGCUAGAAAAUUGUUCCUCUCGCUAUCCAGUGUUUCGUUCUCAUGAUGCAUUUGGACGUUGGGGAACUACAUUU